GAUGAACGCUGGCGGCGUGCCUAAUACAUGCAAGUCGAGCGAACAGACGAGGAGCUUGCUCCUCUGACGUUAGCGGCGGACGGGUGAGUAACACGUGGAUAACCUACCUAUAAGACUGGGAUAACUUCGGGAAACCGGAGCUAAUACCGGAUAAUAUAUUGAACCGCAUGGUUCAAUAGUGAAAGACGGUUUUGCUGUCACUAUAGGAUGAACCGCGCCGCAUUAGCUAGUUGGUAAGGUAACGGCUUACCAAGGCAACGAUGCGUAGCCGACCUGAGAGGGUGAUCGGCCACACUGGAACUGAGACACGGUCCAGACUCCUACGGGAGGCAGCAGUAGGGAAUCUUCCGCAAUGGGCGAAAGCUUGACGGAGCAACGCCGCGUGAGUGAUGAAGGUCUUCGGAUCGUAAAACUCUGUUAUUAGGGAAGAACAAAUGUGUAAGUAACUAUGCACGUCUUGACGGUACCUAAUCAGAAAGCCACGGCUAACUACGUG
rnacentral:rRNA from 1 species